GGAAAAAGGUUUUCAUAUUCUGUUGGAUCAGCAAGGGAUUCUGCUGCUUUCUGAUUGACUUUUGAGAGACUUUCUCUCCAGAGUUUCACCACCCUAUUACAGAUACCAUGGAACCAAAGGGAGACUGGAAAGAAAGAGAGAAGCCAGCUAGGAUAGAGAAAAAUGCAGCAGAGAAAUGAAAAUACUGACAGAAUGGAAAAUUCUACAGAAAGGGAAGACUGAUAAUCACCUCCAACAUUUUAAGGGGAUACUAAGGGCAAUGAGAAAGGAGAGGGAGGGGUGUCCCAAGUGACUUAACUUUACAGGAGAAAUUCCACUGCCAUCAGGAAAUCAGUGGCAAUUAAGAAAUAAAGUUCUUCAAAUUCAUACU